CUAAAAAGGAGUGAUGAAAAAGGUCAGCCUAGUUUAAAAACAAAUACCACAUUUAUAAUGAGGCCAAAGGGAGACUGAAGAAUUCAGUACUUAAUAUACUGACACCUGCCACUUGCAAAAUAUCUCCACCACUAGAAACAAAUAUCUGGGAGAGUUUGGAAAAGUUUGGUCACUCAUUUGUUCCUCCUUUGUUUCCAUUUCAGUCACUGCUCCAUCUGUCCAGUGACAGCACUUACAUUGCUAAAUGUCACAAAGUGAAGCUGCCACAGUUGCUCCAUGUGCUGCUCCCAGCUGGAGAAUUUGGCUCUGAGGAGACAAAGGUCCAGCAGAGUGUGUGGGGAGUAUCACUCCGAAGGUGCAUCCUGGGUUUAGCUACAAGAGCCUCCAUCUGGAAAUACCAGUGACUGGUAAAAAUGUGUCUAUUCUGAAUUUUUUUAAAAUUAUCUAUUAUACUAUAAACUAUUUCCAUUUCAUUAGCAGUAUCCUUUUGGAGCUGAGGCUCCUGAAUGCAGCAUUCAGGUUUGUCACACUAAAUCAUCAGUGUGGCAAAGCUGCUCCCAGUCAUUGCUCUGUUUAUUUUCAGUGUCCCAUCCUAUCAGCUCAAAUUAGUUGGGAAGAGGUAAAGCAAAGACAACAGGUAGUUUUUAAGGUUGCACCAAGUAGAAGGUAAGAAAAUAUAAUAAAUUUUAUUUCAUGCCUUCUUGCCA
rnacentral:lncRNA from 1 species